CCCCUGCCCCACUUACCGCUUCGUCCCGCUCGAGGAAAAGAAACAGGCGCUGGAGAGGAGAAGCGACGCGACUCAGGAGACGGCGGCGCAGGCGACUGACUUCUCCCAACGAAGGUCGAUCCACACCAAGUCUUCUUCUUACCCGCCAUGGAGAACGCCCCCCUGUCCGUUGUUCCCCGUCAUGGCGACCGAGGUCCGAGGAGGUCCCACCCUGCGGCGGUGGCGGCUACCUCUUGCCUACCAUGGCGAGCGUCCCCUCCCUUCAAGCGCCUGAAUCCCCAUGGCAGCCGCCCCCUCCCCUUGGUCAGAACCCUAAUCCCUAAAAUUCCCCUCUAAUCCCAAAUUCGGUGGGUGUAUGGAACUAUGGAUCCCCAUCAGCAACCCGAUUCAAGAGGGAAGAAGUUGUGGUGGUGGCGAAUUAUGCAACCAAUGUCUCUCACGACAUCUCUACUGGAGCCGCCUCUGCCUACUCUGGUGUGUUGCAGCUCCUUACUCUAGCCACGUGUUGCUUGCUCUCCCACUAGCCUCUGCCUCCUGUGGUCUCGAAGUUGAUGACACCCUGAUGCAAAGCUCCCACAAUCAUCCGCUCCAUCUCAGCAAAAAACAUGUCCAGCUGCAGAAAAGGAGUUUGUAUCCAGCUUGACCUCCAUAGCAGGAAGAUUUUAGUAAUCGUUCUAUCAAUGUUCUAUUAAUGGAGAAGGGGGAGAGCAAUGGAAAUAACACCCCGUCGUGGUCCUAGUGCUUCUCUCCGUGGGUUCUCUACAGGUACGUACUAGACAACUACCCAUUGUUUUUGUUUUCUACUGACAGUUUGAUCGCUUCAUCAAUCCUUCUAGAGGGUCUUGACAGGAAGGACUGAGCAGCCACUGUGCUGGAGUAGAUUGUGUGACAGGUUUUUUCCUCUCUAUCCUACCCGUGAUUGGUUUCUUUGGUGAAGAAAGCAUCACUAUCUUUCAAUACAUCAUGGAUGAUCAACAUGUAUGUCUUCAUGGUACAAGAAUGAAGAUUAACUGUUCAAUCUAUUGAUUCAGAGUGAGACAAGGGUGAAACAGAAUAAGCUCAUUUUUGUGAUUUAUACAUGGUGGAAUUCCAGAAUAGAGGGUUGACUCAUACUCAUACUUCAAUUCGGCUUAUAGGGAACAAUCAUGAACCUUCGGCCUCCUUCAUAGAUGGUUUGAUUUCGGCUGAGAUACCUGAACCUUUGGUUGAGCCCUGGGUUAUGCUCUUAUGGAUUAAUUUAUGGUUCACGGUCCAUGUGGAGAAUACAAAGUAAAGUGUGCAUGUAUGAAAGAUGGAUUGUGUUCCAAAAGAUUUCCCAAAGAUUUUAAUGAGCAGACAUCACUUGAUGAUAGAGGCUUUCCUAUAUAUCAUAUAUCAUAGACAUGAUUUGGGUUACUAUGUGAGGAACAAGGGUACUGUUAAGCUGGAUAAUCGAUGGGUAGUGGCGCACUGCUUACAACUGCUUAAAAGAUUCUAAGUGCACAUUAAUGUUGAGUGGUGCAACAAGACAAAUUUGCUCAAAUAUUUGUUCCAGUAUCUCACUGAGGGCCAUGAUGUUGCUCGCAUAAGGUUUCAACCUAUGGUCGAAUGUUGAGCGUUUGUUGCCCUUGGUGUGGCAACUAGAAGAAAUGAAAUUUUAAAAUUUGUUGAGUGCAGAUAUCUUUCUGCUUGCGAAGCAUACUGCCAUAUGUUUGCUUUCAAUAUACACGGUCGUGAGCCUGCAGUGGAGAGAUUGGUUGUGCACCUUCCUCGAGUCUUCAUAAGGAGUUACCUUGCUAUUUAAGACUCUCAAAAUAAUC